AUUGAACGCUGGCGGCAGGCUUAACACAUGCAAGUCGAACGAUGAAGUCUAGCUUGCUAGACGGAUUAGUGGCGAACGGGUGAGUAAUGCUUAGGAAUCUGCCUAUUAGUGGGGGAUAACGUAGGGAAACUUACGCUAAUACCGCAUACGACCUACGGGUGAAAGGGGGCGUUUAGCUCUCGCUAAUAGAUGAGCCUAAGUCGGAUUAGCUAGUUGGUGGGGUAAAGGCCUACCAAGGCGACGAUCUGUAGCUGGUCUGAGAGGAUGAUCAGCCACACUGGGACUGAGACACGGCCCAGACUCCUACGGGAGGCAGCAGUGGGGAAUAUUGGACAAUGGGCGAAAGCCUGAUCCAGCCAUGCCGCGUGUGUGAAGAAGGCCUUUUGGUUGUAAAGCACUUUAAGUGGGGAGGAAAAGCUUAUGGUUAAUACCCAUAAGCCCUGACGUUACCCACAGAAUAAGCACCGGCUAACUCUGUGCCAGCAGCCGCGGUAAUACAGAGGGUGCAAGCGUUAAUCGGAAUUACUGGGCGUAAAGCGCGCGUAGGUGGUUAUUUAAGUCAGAUGUGAAAGCCCCGGGCUUAACCUGGGAACUGCAUCUGAUACUGGAUAACUAGAGUAGGUGAGAGGGGAGUAGAAUUCCAGGUGUAGCGGUGAAAUGCGUAGAGAUCUGGAGGAAUACCGAUGGCGAAGGCAGCUCCCUGGCAUCAUACUGACACUGAGGUGCGAAAGCGUGGGUAGCAAACAGG
rnacentral:rRNA from 1 species